UUACCAUCCCAUUCCUAUGGUGUUUUCUGAAGCAAAAAGUACAUUGAUUUCUUAUCUGCGUAUUCUGCUGUUGAUCAGAGGGUGUGGAAACAGCAUUGAAGUUGGCACAAAAAUGGAGCUAUGAGAAGAAAAAGAUCCCCAAGGAUGAGGGCUACUAUGUUGGGACAGGAGUUCAGGAAUCAACUAAUGAAGAUUCAUCUGCAGUUCCCACGAAUAGUAAAAUAGAUUCUAGGAAGAGGAUUGCUUAAUGCAGUAGAAUUGAACAACAAAGAACUAUCUCUUGUUUCUUAAUUCUCGCAAAGCCAACACAUGAUUCCAUUAGUCAAUUCGCUCCACCACCAUCCAUAAGCUUAGAGGAGCUAAACAUAGCAUCAACGGCUUUCAGUGAUGUUUUAGAGAUAGAUUUACCCAAGAUGCAGAAGCAAAAGCCAAAGUCAGAGACUCAGACAUCUAAGCAAGCAUGUGAUAGAUGUGGGCGUCAACUGUAUGAUUCCACAGAUAUGAACAAUUAGUUCUUACAGUCAGAUCUAUCCAUCUUACUAUGUAAGUUCUCAUCCUAUCAUCAUAUUCUUCG